UCUGGCCUGCUUAGGGUCUCUCGCUCCCGUCAGGUCCGAGGCUAGUCACCACCUCCCUCCCAGGGAACCAAGCUCGGGCCUCUCGGCACUAGAGGCUAUAAAGAGGUACCCAUCUGCUCCCUGCCACCUCCGCCAAGGAUGGGCAGUGGGGUGAAGAGCAAAGGCAAACACCACGCUCCGCGGCAGGAAAAAAUCAAACCAUGUUUUUAAACUACCCGGUAGUGAUCACGUGAAGAAAAGUGCUGGAAUAGGUAUACCCGUGUGACCAGGUUCUGGCCGGUAGAAUGUGCCUGGAAGAGACGCAUAUAAUUUUUAGGUCAUGCCUUUGAAAGAAACACACCUUCACCUUUGCCCUCUGCCUUUGCCACUGGUUGGACCACCUUUGAGCAUGCAAAUAAGGGCAAUACUUAGAGGGUAGCAAGGCGCCUGGAUCCCUGACCACCUGAUCUGCUGUACUGCCUGGUUCUCCUGAGUGUACUGUUUUAUGAAAAGGAAAUAAAGUUCAAUGUUGU